rnacentral:rRNA from 1 species
GAUGAACGCUGGCGGCUUGCCUAAUCCUUCCAAUUCGACCGAACACCUCAGUACUUUCUUCCUCUUACUUUUGCGCCUGACGGUUGUUUACCCCUUGUUUACCUUCCUUUUAUUACUUGUUUAAUUUCGUGAAACCUUACCUAUUACCGUUUAAUUUUUUUAACCGCUUGUUUCAAUAUUUAAUUACGUUUUUUUUUUCUCUUUUAGAUUUUUCCCCGCCGCAUUAGUUAGUUGUUAAGGUAACGGCUUACCAAGGCAACGAUGCUUAGCCGACCUGAGAGGGUGAUCGGCCACACUGGAACUGAGACACGGUCCAGACUCCUACGGGAGGCAGCAGUAGGGAAUCUUCCGCAAUGGGCGAAAGCCUGACAGAGCAACGCCGCGUGAGUGAAGAAGGUCUUCGGAUCGUAAAACUCUGUUAUUAGGGAAGAACAAAUGUGUAAGUAACUAUGCACGUCUUGACGGUACCUAAUCAGAAAGCCACGGCUAACUACGUG